rnacentral:misc_RNA from 1 species
CAGCCUGUCCUUGGUGCACUUCCGUGGGCAUUGUGGGGUUUUCUCCCCGAGAAGCUUUCUCAGAAGUUUGUCACAAGACCCUUUGCGUAUAUCAGAAUACAUAUAUACAAGGGUAUAUAUAUAUAGACGAGUGAGCCUUGCAAGUAGAACUGGAGUCAUGAGCUUCAAGGAGAGCAGUUGUUCCACCUCGCAGGAGAAAACUGACAUGUUUGUCACCUCAUUAGAUGUUUUUAGCAGGCGAGCAUACUUUGACCCAUAUACAACUCACACUGACGUUGAUGUGCUUCCCGCUAUUCCGAAUUUGGCAAAGGCACAGAUCGGCAAAUCGCCUGUGUGUGUUGGGUUUCAUAACGCGCGUAAAUUAGAUGGUGGCGCCGAGCAAAGCGUUACUGCCGAUGAAUCCGCGGUCUCGAAAGUAAAGCGUUUUUCUACACCCAGCGCUUUCACUGCUGCAAAUUCGGUAGUUGAUUUUCUAAAGGAAAAUCUGGGAGGAGUCGUGCUUCCAGAAGAUGGAAUAGGCAGGGACGUGUUGUUUGAGAGACGUCGGUCUUUCUUCGACUCCCUCUUUACCAUAGAGGAAGAUGUGCGAACUGCUCUUCCGUGUCGAUUCUCUACCAACAAGGUUGAUAGCAUAUUUCGCAGCGCCGCCGACGAGACCCUGAGCUCGACAGAGUCAUAUAGAAAGCGGCUAGCCGCGCUUGAACAACUUCGGACUACACUGGACUGCUGAGGAUGGAUCCUUUACCUCUACCAACUGUAAAGAAGAGAGGCGAAGGGGGCAGAACGCUUUUUUUCUUGAGGUAGGCUGCACGGUGCCUUCGCCGUAUUUUGCAUGGCGCAUCAUACGACAGUUCUUUUCAAGGGGGCUUAUACUCU